GCCAAACUAGCUCAGCUGGAUAGAGCAGCUGUUUUGUAAACAGCAGGUCAACGGUUCAAGUCCGUUGUUUGGCU
rnacentral:tRNA from 1 species